UACGUAGGGUGCAAGCGUUGUCCGGAAUUAUUGGGCGUAAAGAGCUUGUAGGCGGUUUGUCGCGUCUGCUGUGAAAAUCCGGGGCUCAACCCCGGACUUGCAGUGGGUACGGGCAGACUGGAGUGUGGUAGGGGGAGACUGGAAUUCCUGGUGUAGCGGUGGAAUGCGCGGAUAUCAGGAGGAACACCGAUGGCGAAGGCAGGUCUCUGGGCCACUACUGACGCUGAGAAGCGAAAGCAUGGGGAGCGAACAGG
rnacentral:rRNA from 1 species